UACGUAGGGCGCAAGCGUUGUCCGGAAUUAUUGGGCGUAAAGAGCUCGUAGGCGGUCUGUCGCGUCCGUUGUGAAAACUCGAGGCUCAACCUCGGGCUUGCAGUGGAUACGGGCAGACUAGAGUGCGGUAGGGGAGACUGGAAUUCCUGGUGUAGCGGUGGAAUGCGCAGAUAUCAGGAGGAACACCGGUGGCGAAGGCGGAUCUCUGGGCCAUUACUGACGCUGAGGAGCGAAAGCGUGGGGAGCAAACAGGAUUAGAACC
rnacentral:rRNA from 1 species